UGGAGGAUAAGCUAAAACGGACCAAAUAUUUGGACCCGAAGCUCAUGAGUUACGGGUACUCCCAAAGAUCCUAAAUGAAAAGUAACUGUCAUGCGCGAGAAUGUCGAGAAUUCCCUUCAAAUACGAUUUUGACGUUGAUGUUAUUUUGUUCCAAACAACAACAAAAUUUACAUUUUCUGUUGUUUCCCAUUUUAAUUGCGGAGUGGAAUGAAACAAUGAAAUUUGGUAUUAUUAUAUCAACAGCUACAAAAAUAUACAAAAUCUUCUGCAGACCAAUUUUUGAAUAUAAACACACUAUACAGAACUGAACUAGUGCCAAUAAGGGAAAGACUGCAAAAAUUUCCAAGGAAACUUUUCUAAAGGCUACACAACAUAGAACUAAAGUGACCAUUGAUGCGAAUAUGAUAGAAGUUGUUUAUUAUUAUUAUAUUUAUUUGUAGGUUGAUCAAUUAAUGUGAUUUGAUAAUAUGAAAGAGAAGUUUGUAUGAUGAGAUUGAAUUGAAAGUGCCCUUUUGUUACUAUGAAUAAGUAUUCAAAUUAAAGCUUCUUAUAAUUA